GUACUACAUGCUCGACAAUGCCCAAGUAGCCAUCUUCCUUGGUUUUCACUCACUGCAUACAAAGGCACAUUCGGUUUUGCCUCCUACUGCUGAAAGGAACAUGACCAUAUUCCUUCCAAAAGAUGCAACAAAGAGGAUGAACAGCAGGAGUAAACCAAACAUGCAGACCAAAUAGGUACUUCAUGUUUUAGUUCCAACAUUUGUGUCUUCCUAAAGAGGAUGGACAGCAGGAGUAAACCAAACAUGCAAACCAAAUAGAUGUUAACAUGUGGAGGAGACGGUCAAACAGGAUGGUUCUUCAUUGGUGGAUUAUGUUGAAAUGCACCGUGUUUCUCUUUGCCUUUCCCCACCUUUUUCCCCCUUAAACCACCUGAGUGCCCAUUGGCAACGUAUAUGAGGGUACUUUUUGGUCAUAAUAAAUCUACAAAUACUGAACUGUGUUUGUACCACAUUCCAAAUGUUAACAUUGGAAUCUCUAUUAUAAUGCCAUCUAUGUUUUUAGCUAUUCAGUA